rnacentral:rRNA from 1 species
CUACGGGUCGCAGCAGUGAGGAAUAUUGCACAAUGGGGGGAACCCUGAUGCAGCAACGCCGCGUGGAGGAUGACGCAUUUCGGUGUGUAAACUCCUUUUAUAUGUCAAGAAAAUGACGGUAGCAUAUGAAUAAGCACCGGCUAACUCCGUGCCAGCAGCCGCGGUAAUACGGAGGGUGCAAGCGUUACUCGGAAUCACUGGGCAUAAAGGACGCGUAGGCGGGUUGGAAAGUCAGGUGUGAAAUCCUACAGCUUAACUGUAGAACUGCACUUGAAACUUCUAAUCUAGAGUAUGGGAGGGGGAGACGGAAUUAGUGGUGUAGGGGUAAAAUCCGUAGAUAUCACUAGGAAUACCUAAAGCGAAGGCGAUCUCCUGGAACAUUACUGACGCUAAGGCGUGAAAGCGUGGGGAGCAAACAGGAUUAGAUACCCCCGUAGUC